rnacentral:rRNA from 1 species
AACGAACGCUGGCGGCAUGCCUAACACAUGCAAGUCGAACGAGACCUUCGGGUCUAGUGGCGCACGGGUGCGUAACGCGUGGGAAUCUGCCCUCUGGUACGGAAUAACUCAGGGAAACUUGAGCUAAUACCGUAUAAUGACUUCGGUCCAAAGAUUUAUCGCCUGAGGAUGAGCCCGCGUAGGAUUAGCUUGUUGGUGAGGUAAAAGACUCACCAAGGCGACGAUCCUUAGCUGGUCUGAGAGGAUGAUCAGCCACACUGGGACUGAGACACGGCCCAGACUCCUACGGGAGGCAGCAGGUGGGGAAGUAUUGGACAAUGGGCGAAAGCCUGAUCCAGCAAUGCCGCGUGAGUGAUGAAGGCCUUAGGGUUGUAAAGCUCUUUUACCCGGGGAUGAUAAUGACAGUACCGGGAGAA